rnacentral:rRNA from 1 species
GCUUACGGCCAUACCACCCUGAGAACGCCCGAUCUCAUCUGAUCUCGGAAGCUAAGCAGGGUAGGGCCUGGUUAGUACUUCGAUGGGAGACCGCCUGGGAAUACCAGGUGCUGUAAGCU